AUGGACUCCAUGGUCUGGAAAAUGUGGGCGCCCCCAAAGGUCAAAUUCUUCUCUUGGCUGGCCUUACAAGAUCGGAUCUGGACCGCCGACAGGCUAGAGCGACGUGGCUGGGACAAUUGCAGUCUUUGCCCGCUCUGUAAACAGGUGCAGGAGUCGGGCGUCCACCUAUUCGCCAAAUGUCGCUUCACCUUGAGGCUUUGGCGGAUGUUCAUUGACAAGUAUGGGCUCGCGCAUCUGGACCCUUCUGACUGGCACCUUGAGGAUUCCCUCCUCUCUUGGUGGGACAAGCGCACCAAUUCGAGCAUUCCAAAUCGUCGAGCCAUGGCCUCCCUUACCAUGCUCGUAUCUUGGACAAUUUGGAACGAAAGGAACGCUAGAGUCUUCCGCCACAAAGAGACGCCACCACCAAUCCUUCUCAAGCUUAUUAUAGAUGAGGCCAACCUAUGGGUUACUGCAGGGGCUAAACAAUUAGGGAAAAUUGUAUCACGCGAGUAA
rnacentral:rRNA from 1 species